GUCUCCGUAGCAUAAUUGGAUAAUGCAGACCCCUCCUAAGGGUCAGAGUAGAGGUUCGAAUCCUCUCGGGGACGCCA
rnacentral:tRNA from 2 species